UACGUAGGGGGCAAGCGUUGUCCGGAUUUAUUGGGCGUAAAGCGCUCGCAGGCGGCUCGAUGCGUCGUGCGUGAAACACCCCGGCUCAACUGGGGAGGGUCGUGCGAUACGGUCGGGCUGGAGGCCAGUAGGGGGAUGCGGAAUUCCGGGUGUAGUGGUGGAAUGCGUAGAGAUCGGGAGGAACACCAGUGGCGAAGGCGGCUUCCUGGCCUGUUCUUGACGCUGAGGCGCGAAAGCUAGGGGAGCAAACGGG
rnacentral:rRNA from 1 species